GACGAACGCUGGCGGCGUGCCUAAUACAUGCAAGUCGAGCGAGACUCUUCGGAGCCUAGCGGCGGACGGGUGAGUAACACGUGGGCAACCUGCCUGUGAGACUGGGAUAACACCGGGAAACCGGUGCUAAUACCGGAUAAUCCUUUUCCUCUCAUGAGGAAAAGCUGAAAGUCGGUUUCGGCUGACACUUACAGAUGGGCCCGCGGCGCAUUAGCUAGUUGGUGAGGUAACGGCUCACCAAGGCGGCGAUGCGUAGCCGACCUGAGAGGGUGAUCGGCCACACUGGGACUGAGACACGGCCCAGACUCCUACGGGAGGCAGCAGUAGGGAAUCUUCCACAAUGGACGAAAGUCUGAUGGAGCAACGCCGCGUGAGCGAUGAAGGCCUUCGGGUCGUAAAGCUCUGUUGUUAGGGAAGAACAAGUACCGGAGUAACUGCCGGUACCUUGACGGUACCUAACCAGAAAGCCACGGCUAACUACGUGCCAGCCGCCGCAGUAACAC
rnacentral:rRNA from 1 species